ACUGAAUAGAUACCCUGGUAGUCCACGCCGUAAACGAUGAUCACUCGCUGUUGGCGAUACACAGUCAGCGGCUAAGCAAAAGCAUUAAGUGAUCCACCUGGGGAGUACGGCCGCAAGGCUGAAACUCAAAGGAAUUGACGGGGGCCCGCACAAGCGGAGGAAACAUGUGGUUUAAUUCGAUGAUACGCGAGGAACCUUACCUGGGCUUAAACUGUAGAGUGCAUUGGUGAGAAAUCAUCAUUUUCUUCGGAACUCUCUGCAAGGUGCUGCAUGGUUGUCGUCAGCUCGUGCCGUGAGGUGUCGGGUUAAGUCCCAUAACGAGCGCAACCCUUAUCGUUAGUUGCCAGCGGGUAAUGCCGGGGUACUCUAGCG
rnacentral:rRNA from 1 species